rnacentral:rRNA from 1 species
GACAGAGGUGCCAAGCGUUAGGCGGAAUCACUGGGCUUAAAGCGUGUGUAGGCGGACUUCUAAGUGCCUUGUGAAAUCCCACGGCUCAACCGUGGAACUGCUGGGCAUACUGGGAGUCUUGAGCAACCUAGGGGCGAGCGGAACAAAUGGUGGAGCGGUGAAAUGCGUAGAUAUCAUUUGGAACGCCAAUGGUGAAAACAGGUAGCUGGGCUGUGCUGACACUGAGACACGAAAGCCAGGGGAGCAAACGGG